rnacentral:lncRNA from 1 species
AAAGUGGUGUUUUUAGAACUGGCUACUUCUUUAUUUGUGUUCAAAGAUUGGGUUUUGGUGGUGUUUUUGUCAAAAGGUAGCUCCUCUCUUGGGUUGGCUAAUUGAGAUAAAGUGCUAUUAGAUCUGGUAUUAUUAGGAUAAGAAGUGAAGUUAAGGCCUUGUUGUUGUUGCGGAGAAGAAGAAGUGUUGGAAAAGAAGUAAUCGAAAACGGAAGAGAAUUGAGAUCUAUAAGAAUCGGCAGACGUAGUAGCAGAAGUGGUGGAGCUUGUUGAAAAGAUGUUGGUGAACCAAGGAGCAGAAGAGUUCGAAGAAGGGCUAAAAGCUAAAAACACAGUGAAACCAACAAAGGCAAACAUGAAGAAAGCCACUGUCCUCCUUGUCUUGAUGAUUGAAAACAGACUCCUGAAGUCUGUAACGAGAGUUGUUCCUCCAUUGAUAGGCAUGUACUUUGCAGUAUCUGCCAUUGAAGGCAAAAGCCAAAUCCUUUGAGUCGCUC